rnacentral:rRNA from 1 species
AAGCUCGUAGUUGAAUUUCGGGAUCAGACUGUCGGUCGUGCCUCGGUACGCACUGGCAUUAUUGGUUCCUACCUUCUGAAGAACCGCGAUGUCAUUAAUUUGGUGUCGUGGGGAAUCAGGACUGUUACUUUGAAAAAAUUAGAGUGUUUAAAGCAAGCUAACGCUUGAAUACAUUAGCAUGGAAUAAUGAAAUAGGACGUUCGAUCUUAUUUUGUUUGGUUUCUUAGGAUUGACGUAAUGAUUAAUAGGAGUAGUUGGG